CCUACGGUAGGCUGCAGUGAGGAAUAUUGGUCAAUGGACGAGAGUCUGAACCAGCCAAGUAGCGUGAAGGAUGACUGCCCUAUGGGUUAUAAACUUCUUUUAUAUGGGAAUAAAAUGUUCCACGUGUGGGCUUUUGUAUGUACCAUUUGAAUAAGGAUCGGCUAACUCCGUGCCAGCAGCCGCGGUAAUACGGAGGAUCCGAGCGUUAUCCGGAUUUAUUGGGUUUAAAGGGAGCGUAGGUGGAUUCUUAAGUCAGUUGUUAAAGUUUGCGGCUCAAACGUAACAUUGCAGUGGAAACUGGCAGUCUGGAGUACAGUAGAGGUAGGCGGAAUUCGUGGUGUAGCGGUGAAAUGCUUAGAUAUCACGAAGAACUCCGAUUGCGAAGGCAGCUCACUGGACUGAAACUGACACUGAGGCUCGAAAGUGAGGGUAUCAAACAGGAUUAGAUACCCCUGUAGUC
rnacentral:rRNA from 1 species